rnacentral:rRNA from 1 species
GUGGGGAAUCUUCCGCAAUGGACGAAAGUCUGACGGAGCAACGCCGCGUGAGUGAAGAAGGUUUUCGGAUCGUAAAGCUCUUUCGUUAGGGACGAACGUGCUCUUUGUGAAUAAUGCUAGGAAGUGACGGUACCGGAAUAGAAAGCCACGGCUAACUACGUGCCAGCAGCCGCGGUAAUACGUAGGUGGCAAGCGUUGUCCGGAAUUAUUGGGCGUAAAGGGCGUGUAGGCGGCCAGACAAGUCUGUCUUAAAAGUGCGGGGCUCAACCCCGUGAGGGGACAGAAACUGGUAUUCUUGAGUGUCGGAGAGGAAAGUGGAAUUCCAAGUGUAGCGGUGAAAUGCGUAGAGAUUUGGAAGAACACCAGUGGCGAAGGCGACUUUCUGGACGAUGUCUGACGCUGAGGCGCGAAAGCUAGGGGAGCGAACGGGAUUAGAAACCCUAGUAGUCC